rnacentral:rRNA from 1 species
CCUACGGGCGGCAGCAGUGAGGAAUAUUGGUCAAUGGGCGGGAGCCUGAACCAGCCAAGCCGCGUGAGGGAAGAAGGUACAGCGUAUCGUAAACUUCUUUUGUCAGGGAACAAAGGCGGGGACUAGUCCCCGGAUGAGUGUACCUGAAGAAAAAGCAUCGGCUAACUCCGUGCCAGCAGCCGCGGUAAUACGGAGGAUGCGAGGGUUAUCCGGAUUUAUUGGGUUUAAAGGGUGCGCAGGCGGCCUGUUAAGUCAGCGGGAAAAGCCCGGGGCUAAACCCCGGCGAGCCGUUGAAACUGGCGGGCUGGAGUUGGAGAGAAGUACGCGGAAUGCGCGGUGUAGCGGUGAAAUGCUUAGAUAUCGCGCAGAACACCGAUUGCGAAGGCAGCGUACCGGCUCCACACUGACGCUGAGGCACGAAAGCGUGGGUAUCGAACAGGAUUAGAUACCCCGGUAGUC